GGUCACCAAAAAUGUCACUACAUUGACUAUAACAAAAGAUGGUAUCAACCAUGGAAACCAUUUCUUGAAAUGCUUAAUUUCUCUAUAAAAAGCAGGUCCUCUUGUUGUUGUCAUAGCUGGCUCUACUGGGUAUACUGAGUUACCCCCUUUCCUUGAAUGGACCUGGAUUUGGAUCUCCGGUUGUGAAUGAGCUCCUCCGGCCAUCUCGCCGGAAAAUCAAGAAUGCUGGAAAUUGAUGCCGGGAAGUUUAAAUUCCGAUUGUACACAAUGGGUAGAGAAGAAAAAGGAGUUAACGUGGCUUUGAAGAGAGGAUAAAGUCAAAUUGAUUGAUU
rnacentral:misc_RNA from 1 species